AGGAGAGAGGAGUGCACUAUAAGAAGCGUCAAAACAAUUAUUAAGCCACGGUCGAGAGGCAGAGAGCGGUAGUGUGCACAAUGAAGACAUAACACGGGAGAUUUUACUUGACUAACUGAAUUGUUGUCCAUCCAAAGCCGAGGACCCAGAAGCUUUUGGCAGCGCCGUGAAGAUUUCUGGGCGCCUCGCAUUGAAGUGGAUUCUGGUAGUGCACUUAUCUCUCCCGUGCUGUCGCCUGGCUACCUUUCAAAUACCGGCAAAAAAUACAUGACAAAAACACUUACGUUUCAGCACCUUAAGCGAGGACAGCUCCUUUCCUUGGCGUAACAUUCAGACUCAAUUGGAGCCUGCACUUCUGAGCGAAUUGAAACAUUCUGCCUCUUGUUCCAGAACUCUUCGUACGUAUGGACACUCCCAGUGUCGCUUACUGUAUCUGUAUUGCGAGCCUUAAAGUAGCUUAAAAAUCAAUCGUCGCAGAAUCAGGAAUUGACUUCAAGCUCAAUAUGUACCAGGGUCAUUUGCAGGGGAGAGAUUCUAGGGCUGCAGAUAAGACUGUUGCCAUGGUCCUGAAGGAGAUACCCAGUAAGGCGUCUUCAGAAGUGAAACCCCUCCUCACGGUGACAACCAAGCUGGUGAGUGAGCAACAAGAGAGCCGCCCCCUGCUAAGCCCCUCCAUCGACGACUUUCUCUGUGAGACCAAGUGCCAUGGCGCUGCACGCCUAGUGACUUCGAACACAGCAGUUCUGUCCUCCACAUUGGACCUAUUGGACCUCAGCGAGCCCGGAGAGAGAAGGAACAGCAAGCAGGACAAGAAGAGCCCUCUGUUGUCACGUGGGGACGGGCCUAAGAACAUGCCUCACCGGAAGAAGACAACGGACGAGACCGAGCUGAUCCAGGUGGAUGUAGAGCAGACUGUCCCCUGUCCCCACACUCCUGAAAGAGUGUCACUUGACUCAGUCAACAUUGCCUCUCCUUUGGAGAAAUGGGAGGAGCUCAAUGUCCACACUGAACGAAACAGCAGCAGAAAGUGGAAAUUGGAGAGACGGGGUUCAUCGAAAAACUCCUCCAGUGAACUUCUGUGGUCCAUAGACUGCAAAACGCAAUCAGAGCCACCCUCCAAGAGCUCUUUGGAAGUAAAUACCAUAGCAGAGGCCGAGCCAGCUCUAGCAUUUCAACUCAACAGACAGUAUAUUAGUGGAAGACAUGGCCGUUUGAGUAAAGAGCGGUUCGGUGGCGGUGCCCUCCUGUCCAGAAACCAGUCCCUGGAGGAAGAGUUUGAGCGAGCCAAGGCAGCUGUGGAGUCAGACACAGAGUUCUGGGACAAGAUGCAAGCAGAGUGGGAGGAGCUAGCACGACGGAACUGGCUAACGGAGAACGAGCAGGCGCAGAUCCCCUCCAGUGUGUCGCCUCACGAGAAGGGUUACUACUUCCACAUGGACAACCCCUACAAGGACUGGCCCAACGCGUUUGAGGAGGGUCUUCGAAAGUCCAAAGAGGGAGACCUGCCCAACGCUGUGCUGCUACUGGAGGGGGCCAUCUUGCAGGACCCCCAAGACUCAGAGGCUUGGCAAGUGUUGGGGACCACCCAGGCCGAGAACGAAAACGAGCAGGCAGCUAUCGUCUCCCUCCAGAGGUGUCUCGAGCUCCACCCCAAUAACCUCCAAGCCCUCAUGGCCCUGGCGGUGAGCCUGACCAACACGGGCAUGAGGCAGGAUGCAUGCGAGGCAUUGCUGCGCUGGCUCCGUCACAACUCCAAGUACAAGCACCUGCUGAAGGGCAAGAGCCACCUGGCGGGCUCCCCGGGCUCCCAACGUAGGAUGUCUCGUGUCUCAACUGUGGGCAGAUAUGAGAGCUCUCUACUGCCUGAGGUGAAGGAUCUGUAUCUGGAGGCAGCCCAGCACAACAGGGACACCGACCCGGACCUGCAGACAGGCCUGGGUGUGUUGUUCAACAUUAGCGCGGAGUUCAACAAAGCUGUGGAGGCCUUCAAUGCUGCCUUGACGGUGCGGCCAGAGGACUACCUGCUGUGGAACCGCCUGGGGGCCACGCUGGCUAACGGGGACCGCAGCGAGGAGGCGGUAGAGGCCUACACCCGAGCCCUGGAGCUCCAGCCGGGCUUCAUUAGAUCCCGUUACAACCUGGGCAUCAGCUGCAUCAACCUAGGAGCACACCGGGAGGCGGCCAGUAACUUCCUAACAGCCCUGAGUCUGCAGAGGAAGAGCCGUAGUCAGCAGCUCUCACAACAGGUCAUGUCGGGGAACAUCUGGGCCGCCCUGCGGAUAGCCCUCUCCAUGAUGGACCAGCCGGAGCUCUUCCAGGCAGCCAACAUCGGAGACUUGGACCUCCUCAUGAAAGCCUUCAACCUGGACAUGUGAGUGGAGAUGGGCCUUGGAGACAAGUCUCUACUCUCCUACCAACAGGCCUUGGAGACGAGCCUCUUCUCUCCUACCAACAGGCCUUGGAGACAAGUCUCUACUCUCCUACCAACAGGCCUUGAAGACAAGUCUCUACUCUCCUACCAACAGGCCUUGGAGACGAGUCUCUUCUCUCCUACCAACAGGCCUUGGAGACGAGUCUCUUCUCUCCUACCAACAGGCCUGGGAGAAGAGUCUCUACACUCCUACCAACAGGCCUGGGAGAAGAGUCUCUACACUCUUAUCAACAGGCCUGAGAGAAGAGUCUCUACACUCCUAUCAACAGGCCUGGGAGAAGUCUCUACACUCCUACCAAAUGCCAAAAACCCAAAGUGUACAGUUGGAAAGAGCUGUUUUGUCCAGUUAAUGACGAGUGUGUGGUCUAUUUUGGCGAGCACUACAACAUCUUUACUACUCCUCAGUACCUCUGCAGUCUUCUUGAGUACUGCAUGUGCUCGAAGAGUCUAUUUUGCGAUGGAUUUGCACUGCAAUUUGUGAUUUCCCCGAAGAGCACAAGGACGGGCAAAGACUGUACAAGUAAUGCCUUAGAGAACACAGUAAUUAAAACUAACUCAUUGGAACUGAGCAAGAGAGAGAAAGAGAAAUACUGAGAAUGCUUUUGCUGAACAGUGUUGAGGAUUGAAAAGAACGGUUUCCUCAUCCAGAUACUUUUAGAGUGUCCGGAUUAUCACACUGACCUAAAGGAAGGAUUUAGUGAGUAAAAUCAAUAAAGACUACACCAUAAGCCGUGGGACUCGGAGACAGUUUUCAGCAGAGAAUCAAUAUUCUUUUUUGGGGGGGUUGGUUUUAUCCUCUUUUCUGUGAGGAACAACACUGCAUGGAAACUAAAGCAUGUUCCUAAAUGGAUUCGGUGGCACUUGCCUGAACCUAAAAGCUUAGAACCUUUUUUCCUUACUUGGGACUCUGCACUUUGAAAAACAAACAGAUCAUUUCCUCUUAUCUUAAUGAAACGAGACAGAUUGUAAAAGCAUUACCUUAAACGCAUGCUAAAAUGAAAUUGAUUUACACAAUUUUUAUGGCAACCAAUGUAAGCCAUUUUCAGAUUCAUUUUUGACUUCCUCGAAUACCUGACAUCCUCCGAAUUCUUCACGUUUUGUGGUGUUUCCAGCUCCUCAUUUCACUUUACCCUAACUGGUUUGAGAGAAGCACUCAUUAGCUGGACAAGAUGGACCCGUAUUUUUCCCUCAGAGCUGGGAAAUGGUUGGAACAGUCCAGUAGCAAACACAAGAGGAGGAAAACAGAGAAGUCUUUUGUGUAUGGAAUCACUGUUGAAAACAUCAAGGAGCCAGAGCCAACUGCAGAGACACAGCACAUAUGUGCACGCUGCUGGCAAUCUGCAUAGGAGGCUAGCUUUGAAGACCAGAAAACACAUUGGCGGACUGUACAACGUCAAAGGCAACUGGGCCAACACGUUAUGGCAUCCAUCCAUUUAUUAAUGCAUUUCUGUUGCCCAACUACCCCAACAAGAUGAUAUUCCUUCACUCCCACCCAGCGAGCAAAGGAGGUUGAGAUCUAGUUGUAACCAAUCAUGAUCGUCACUGCGGUCAUGAUUGACUACGUCUUAGUGAGUCAUCGAACGAUGGCUGACAACUCUACACUGUAGAUUUAUAUGGCAAAUAGUAUUGAGAACAGAAUUGUUUUUAUUCCAAAGUGCAUAAUUUACAGAAAAUGUUUUCUGGCUCCAUGCCUCCUAGUUGCCCUUACUGUCAGCAGCAUAUACACUGUAGUACAAUGCUGAACCAGGAUUUACUGUAUCAAGAGAUUUCUUCAAAAUCACUCUGAUUUCUUAUGGUCUAGUAAUCCUGUGCUUUUUGAACAAAAAUAAAUGUAGUUAUGUAGAAGAUUAAAUUAUUUUUUUAACAGUUUUUGAAUUAUUGGAUGACCAACUAUAUAUAUAUAUAUAUAUAUAUUACUGUAGAAUUUAUAUUGAUGUGUGUUGAGUUAGGAUGCCCAAAGUACCUUUUCUAGAACAGUUGACCUUCUCAGGUGUGAUGACCUAGCUACACCUAACAUACUCCAGGUUGAAUGCAUGCUAGAUCUUCUAUGCUUUACUUUGAAUGAUCUUAUAUUUUCAUGCAUGCAGUGCUUUUCUUUCCCCUAAUUCUAAAAACAAAAUAUAGCAUGUUACAUAGCAAUAUUUUUCCAAUCCACUUUUAAAACGUCUUCAUUUUAUGAAAUGUAACAUACCUAUCAUAUAUUGUGCACAACAUACAAUAACAAAACAUCUGCAGUGAAUCUGGAGAGAAACCAAAAGUAGUGCUCUCUAACUGAUUACCGAGUGCAGGUCUCGGCCCACACGCCAAUCGUUUGGCUAAAGGGUUUCUGAUCCUCUCAGGCGUGUAUACAACUGAAUGACUACAACGCUUCCUGCUCAGUGUAAUAGCAUUAAUUCCUACAGUUUUCAAUAAUUUUUCUGUGUUUCGUGUACGAUUCAUUUCAUUGUACCCUGCUGGUUUACUCUGGUUUGCUUCUAUAGCUGAUAUACAAGUAUGAAUAGAUCUAUUAAUAUUUUUGAUGCCUUAAAAAAAUGAAAUACUUUACAGUGUACCAACAAUGCAUAAUAAAUACUCUCCCGAUGUACCUAAAACACUAGUCAAGCAUCAACACCUUUCAUAUGAUAUGAAAGUUGUCUUUUAAAAUAAACUUGUAAUAUA